GACGAACGCUGGCGGCGUGCUUAACACAUGCAAGUCGAACGGAAAGGCCCUGCUUUUGUGGGGUGCUCGAGUGGCGAACGGGUGAGUAACACGUGGGUAACCUGCCCUUGACUUUGGGAUAACUUCAGGAAACUGGGGCUAAUACCGGAUAGGAGCUCCUGCUGCAUGGUGGGGGUUGGAAAGUUUCGGCGGUUGGGGAUGGACUCGCGGCUUAUCAGCUUGUUGGUGGGGUAGUGGCUUACCAAGGCUUUGACGGGUAGCCGGCCUGAGAGGGUGACCGGCCACAUUGGGACUGAGAUACGGCCCAGACUCCUACGGGAGGCAGCAGUGGGGAAUAUUGCACAAUGGGCGGAAGCCUGAUGCAGCAACGCCGCGUGCGGGAUGACGGCCUUCGGGUUGUAAACCGCUUUCGCCUGUGACGAAGCGUGAGUGACGGUAAUGGGUAAAGAGGCACCGGCUAACUACGUG
rnacentral:rRNA from 1 species